GACGAACGCUGGCGGCGUGCUUAACACAUGCAAGUCGAACGGAAAGGCCAUGCUCUUGUGGGGUGGUCGAGUGGCGAACGGGUGAGUAAAACGUGAGGAACCUGCACUUGACUUUGGGAGAAAUUCAGGAAACUGGGGCGAAUACCGGGUAGGAGAUUCUGAUGCAUGGGGGGGGAUGGAGGGUGCGGGCGGUUGGGGAUGGACUAGAGGCUUAUCAGCUGCUUGGGGGGGUAGUGGCGUACCACGGCUUUGACGGGUAGCCGGCCUUAGAGGGUGACCUGCCACCUUGCGCCUGCGAUACGCCCCAGACGCCUACGUGCCGCAACAGUGGGGAAUAUUGCACAAUGGCCCGAAGUCAGAUGCAGCAACGCCGCGUUCGGGAUGCUGUCUUUUGGGUUGUAAACCUCUUUCGCCUGUGCCGAAGCGUGCGUGACGGUACUGGGUCAAGAAGCCCCGGCUAACUACGUG
rnacentral:rRNA from 1 species